AGCCCAACAUACAUAUUUAAAAAAAAAAAAAAAUUAAUCUGAUACUCCGUAAUCCGUAUCAGUUCUUUACUUCUUUAGUUUUCAACAUUUUUAACUCCCAAAAUUGACGCUUUGUUUUUCAAGAAAAUUCAAUGCUAAUACUCUUCAUCUCCCCCAAAUUACUCUUUGUUUCCAAUAAUAUCCCAAAUUCCCAAUUACAAUCAUCUGAUUUCAAUCUUAUAUUCUAAUCAACAACUUUCCAUCAUUCUCUUGAAUUCAAAGGAAGAAUUCGUCUAAUUAGAAUGGAAAGGAGUGAUAUUUGGGAAUUUGUUGAAGAGGAAGAACAAUCAUGGCAGAGGCACAGGUACAAUUUGAUAAAGGUUAGGAGCAGACAAGUAAUUUUUCAACCGGCUAAAGAGUUGGAGCAGUUGAUGAGCCGAUCCGAGUAGGGCUGUGAUUUCUAAAUAAAAUUUUGUUUAUUUUUUUGUUCAAUUUGUAGGAAUAAAU